rnacentral:rRNA from 1 species
UACGUAGGGUGCAAGCGUUGUCCGGAAUUAUUGGGCGUAAAGAGCUCGUAGGCGGCCGAUCGCGUCGGAUGUGAAAGCUCGGGGCUCAACCCUGAGAGGCCAUUCGAUACGGAUCGGCUAGAGGUAGGUAGGGGAAAGUGGAAUUCCUGGUGUAGCGGUGAAAUGCGCAGAUAUCAGGAGGAACACCGGUGGCGAAGGCGGCUUUCUGGGCCUUACCUGACGCUGAGGAGCGAAAGCUGGGGGAGCAAACAGG